rnacentral:rRNA from 1 species
UGAUUAUGGCUCAGAACGAACGCUGGCGGCGUGGAUAAGACAUGCAAGUCGAACGAGAGAAUUGCUAGCUUGCUAAUAAUUCUCUAGUGGCGCACGGGUGAGUAACACGUGAGUAACCUGCCCCCGAGAGCGGGAUAGCCCUGGGAAACUGGGAUUAAUACCGCAUAGUAUCGAAAGAUUAAAGCAGCAAUGCGCUUGGGGAUGGGCUCGCGGCCUAUUAGUUAGUUGGUGAGGUAACGGCUCACCAAGGCGAUGACGGGUAGCCGGUCUGAGAGGAUGUCCGGCCACACUGGAACUGAGACACGGUCCAGACACCUACGGGUGGCAGCAGUCGAGAAUCAUUCACAAUGGGGGAAACCCUGAUGGUGCGACGCCGCGUGGGGGAAUGAAGGUCUUCGGAUUGUAAACCCCUGUCAUGUGGGAGCAAAUUAAAAAGAUAGUACCACAAGAGGAAGAGACGGCUAACUCUGUGCCAGCAGCCGCGGUAAUACAGAGGUCUCAAGCGUUGUUCGGAAUCACUGGGCGUAAAGCGUGCGUAGGCUGUUUCGUAAGUCGUGUGUGAAAGGCGCGGGCUCAACCCGCGGACGGCACAUGAUACUGCGAGACUAGAGUAAUGGAGGGGGAACCGGAAUUCUCGGUGUAGCAGUGAAAUGCGUAGAUAUCGAGAGGAACACUCGUGGCGAAGGCGGGUUCCUGGACAUUAACUGACGCUGAGGCACGAAGGCCAGGGGAGCGAAAGGGAUUAGAUACCCCUGUAGUCCUGGCAGUAAACGGUGCACGCUUGGUGUGCGGGGAAUCGACCCCCUGCGUGCCGGAGCUAACGCGUUAAGCGUGCCGCCUGGGGAGUACGGUCGCAAGAUU